rnacentral:rRNA from 1 species
ACUACGGGUGGCAGCAGUAGGGAAUCUUCCACAAUGGGCGCAAGCCUGAUGGAGCAACACCGCGUGAGUGAAGAAGGGUUUCGGCUCGUAAAGCUCUGUUGUUGGAGAAGAACGUGCGUGAGAGUAACUGUUCACGCAGUGACGGUUUCCAACCAGAAAGUCACGGCUAACUACGUGCCAGCAGCCGCGGUAAUACGUGGGUGGCAAGCGUUAUCCGGAUUUAUUUGGCGUAAAGCGAGCGCAGGCGGUUGCUUAGGUCUGAUGUGAACGCCUGCGGCUUAACCGAAGAAGUGCAUCGGAAACCGGGCGAGUGGGGUACAGAUGAGGACGGGGGAACUCCAUGGGCAGCGGUGGAGUGCGUAACUAUAUGUGAGA